CGCUGAAGCGGGCGGGGCGGCCGUUGGAGUGGGCGAUCCUCGCGUCCCGCACGCCCGGCCCCGGCCCCCACCUCGCCUCUCUUCAGCAUGUCCCAUUUAUUCAUGAUCUUCAUGGCGUACACCUGGCCCGUCUGCUUCAUCUUCACCACCGCUACCUGAAGGCCAAAACCGGGCCCCGCCCAUUGCACGAGAAGUCGCGUCUCCGGCUCCGCGGAUCGGCAGUGGCCGUUCACAGCUCACCUCGCUGAACGCCCCGCGUCCGAUCACCUUCAGAAUUUCGAAGUCAUCCCUCUGCAGUCGGGCUUCCUUAAGCCUCUCGGCGAUGGGCUCCACUGGGGGGCGAGGGGAGGUGAGAACCUAGGCUACUGGGCCUGACGCUGGAGGCAAGAGGAAGUCCCACCCUCUGCCCCUCAGGCUCCCCCUCUCUCCAUCCCUCGAUCUCCUCUGUCCCCUGUUCUCUCCUCUCUCUGCUUCUUUCCUAGGACUGUCAGCCUCCCAAGGGCUUCCCCACCAAAACACUGUAUGAGGUUUGGGGGGACCCCAAACUGCCCUCCUAUAGAAAAAGGUGGGAUGCCUGGGAACCCCUUUUUGGGAAGGAAGGUCAUCGGGCUGGAAGACCGCAGUGGCUGCAGGUGAAGAGGGCGGGCUCUGCAGGAUAGCGGGAGAAGAUAAGAGACCCCGUCGUAGGGCCCCUCAGGCCCCACCCCCACCCGGGCUGGGGGUGGGAGUGCCCAAGAGGCCCACCCCAGCAUUCUCAGUCUGCCUCUGGUCACCUGCUGGAACAUUCGGUUUAAUCCAGUACCUCCAGGUUUAUGAGGCAGGUGGCUUUGGACCACACUUUGGGAGACCUGGAUUUGGGGCUGGGGCUGGGAGAAGGAACAAGGACAAGGCCAGCGUGGUCCCCGAAA